rnacentral:rRNA from 1 species
UACGGGAGGCAGCAGUGGGGAAUAUUGCACAAUGGGCGCAAGCCUGAUGCAGCCAUGCCGCGUGUAUGAAGAAGGGCCUUCGGGUUGUAAAGUACUUUCAGCGGGGAGGAAGGCGGUGAAGUUAAUAGCUUCACCGAUUGACGUUACCCGCAGAAGAAGCACCGGCUAACUCCGUGCCAGCAGCCGCGGUAAUACGGAGGGUGCAAGCGUUAAUCGGAAUUACUGGGCGUAAAGCGCACGCAGGCGGUCUGUCAAGUCGGAUGUGAAAUCCCCCGGGCUUAACCUGGGAACUGCAUUCGAAACUGGCAGGCUAGAGUCUUGUAGAGGGGGUAGAAUUCCAGGUGUAGCGGUGAAAUGCGUAGAGAUCUGGAGGAAUCCGGUGGCGAAGGCGGCCCCUGGACAAAGCUGACGCUCAGGUGCGAAAGCGUGGGGAGCAAACGAGGAUUAGGAUACC